rnacentral:miRNA from 1 species
UUUGUUCUCUCUCCUUCAAAGGCUUCUGGAACUGCAUAUACGUUUACCAAUAUGCAAAACCCUGGAGCCUUUGGGGAGAGGGACCAA